UACGUAGGGGGCAAGCGUUGUCCGGAAUCAUUGGGCGUAAAGAGCGUGUAGGCGGCCUGGUAAGUCCGCUGUGAAAGUCCAGGGCUCAACCCUGGAAUGCCGGUGGAAACUGUCAGGCUCGAGUCCGGAAGAGGCGAGUGGAAUUCCUGGUGUAGCGGUGAAAUGCGCAGAUAUCAGGAGGAACACCAAUGGCGAAGGCAGCUCGCUGGGACGGUACUGACACUGAAACGCGAAAGCGUGGGGAGCGAACAGG
rnacentral:rRNA from 1 species